GGCUUUUACCUGGUCUGCGAGAAAUCAAACUUUGGGCACAAGUCAUGAAGCCGACAAGCCCGGGAGACACAGUGUCAGAAUUACAAGGUGAGAUCAGCCGCCCGGCCAAGCUAUCUUCUCGCUAGCAGGUCUCGCAUCUGGGGCUCGAUCUCGUGCAGAGGAGCAUUUCCGAAGACACUGGCCGCUCCCACAAUGGCUCCGAAGAACCCAGCGACCAGCGGGUUCAUGAGUUUGUUGGGGCUGUCCACUCGGUACCAGCUGCGCAGGGAUGUCAGGACAAAGAAACAAGUUGCCUGGUUCCAGCCCUGCUUCAGCACGGGGCCUGUGGGGCCCCGGUAAGUCCCGGUGUUCCCGCACAAUCUCCUAACCCUGUGGAAGAAUCCCCUGUACUUGGAUUUGGAGAGGUCUGGCCAUGGAUUAACUUCACCUUGAUGGUCUCCAUGGGACAUAGGACCACCACGGCCUCGGCCACGCUAGCUCACUGGCCGCACCGCUGCCCGCCUUGCUGUUCACCAGUCCCUGGGCAUCCCGCAUCUGGUUGCUGAGGAACGCCUGACGCCGCCUUGUGGAUGAAGCCGCAGAGCAGGGAGCUGAGGCUGCGGCCCAGGCCCAGGCUGCCUUGGCUGCGACUGUGUGCCUGCAGGCCCCAUGCCCGGUAUCCGGUGGAUGCGAGUGCUAGUCCAGCUGCAGCUGCAUCUUCACGAACUCGGCUGGAGUGCAGUGGCGCGAUCUUGGCUCACUACAACCUGGAUUCAAGCGAUUCUCCUGCCUCAGCCUCCCGAGUAGCUGGGAUUACAGGCAUGUGCCACCAUUCCCGGCUAAUUUUUUUGUCUUUUUAGUAGAGACGGUGUUUCCCCAUGUUGGUCAGGCUGGUCUCAAACGCCUGACUCAGAUGAUCCGCCCGCCUCGGCCACCCAAAGUGCUGAGAUUACAGGCUUGAACCACCGCGCCUGGCCCUGUGAUGUAGAUUUUGAUGCUGCCAGCCAGGCUGCCUGCCGGGAUCGCCUGCCCUGGAGCAGGAGCAUCAGCCGUGCGUUCCAGGACGCAGGCAUGGCAUGACCGGCAGGAGGCGGAGUGCCCGGCGUCUCUUGGGAUCGGAGCCUCCUGAAUUCCACGCUGGGACCUUAAUUUGGUUUUAACACAAAUAAAGAUCUCACAUAAAGAUAAAA
rnacentral:lncRNA from 1 species